rnacentral:rRNA from 1 species
GACGAACGCUGGCGGCGUGCUUAACACAUGCAAGUCGAACGGAAAGGCCCUGCUUUUGUGGGGUGCUCGAGUGGCGAACGGGUGAGUAACACGUGAGUAACCUGCCCUUGACUUUGGGAUAACUUCAGGAAACUGGGGCUAAUACCGGAUAGGAGCUCCUGCUGCAUGGUGGGGGUUGGAAAGUUUCGGCGGUUGGGGAUGGACUCGCGGCUUAUCAGCUUGUUGGUGGGGUAGUGGCUUACCAAGGCUUUGACGGGUAGCCGGCCUGAGAGGGUGACCGGCCACAUUGGGACUGAGAUACGGCACAGACUCCUACGGGAGGCAGCAGUGGGGAAGAUUGCACAAGGGGCGGAAGCCUGAUGCAGCAACGCCGCGUGCGGGAUGACGGGCUUCGGGUUGUAAACCGCUUUCGCCUGUGACGAAGCGUGAGUGACGGUAAUGGGUAAAGAAGCACCGGCUAACUACGUG